UAGGUGGUGGUGACGCUUUGGUCGGAGAUUGCUUGGUUGCUAGUGUGUAUAAAGACGGCGAUGGAGAGGGAAGAGAGAAGGCCGAUGUUGUGGUGUUGAAAAGGCUUUUCCUGAAUAAGGGAGAGAGGAAGAAGAGACUAGUGGGGCCCAAACCCCAAUAUGUUUUAUUUUUUAAUUCUUAAACGGCGUGUUCUGUGAAAAAUGUUUACAGGUGUCAAGUCAUUAUGGGUGGAACUCUAGGUUAGCUAAUGAGCCUGGACCGUGGAAAAAUUUCUCCAACAUCAUAGUUUGGAACAUCAAUAAUAUUGCUUUGUUUAGGAAAUCCAUUAUUCUUCUGCAAAUUUAAUUAAAUUUUAAGAGAUAAUUGCAGCAGUGGUCUAUAUAUUUUAGUCUAAUUGGAGUUUGUAUCUCUAAAAUAAAAUUAAGUGAAUAUUGGUCAUGAACUUAUUACAAUGUGUAGUAGUAGUUCUUAGGUUACUCUUUUAGAAUUUUCAUCCAUGUUUUACCUUUUAAACUCUUAUUUAGGAUGAAUGUAUAAUUAUGCUACUCUAAUGAACUAUAACUCUUUUAGAAUUUUCAUCCAUUGUUUUGCCUUUUAAACUUUUAUUUUGGAAUCUUGGAUGAAAUUUAUUAAUAAUAUUUUCAUUUUAUGAAUCCUAGUACUUUUAUAAAUUGGUAUUUAAAAACUCUUUUCUUUUAUCGUAUUAAUUUUGACUGAGUUUAUUAUUUGUUUUUAAUUAAAAUUAGUUUUUAAUAUUACUCAAUUUCCAAAUCAUAUUUCUAAAUUUUUAGUUUUAAGUAGUUAAUUAGGAAUUGUUUUUACAUAUAUUAUUUAAAUAGUCCUUGUGGAGAACGAUUUUGCAUGAGCAUCUAUACUAUAACAUCCGUGUACUCUUGCAAAUAUUUGUGUGAUUUUAACCUUCUUUUCGUAGGUACUAAAAAUCCUAUCAUCAAUCUUUGUAGAAGUUCGAUUGAGCAAUGUCUUGUUUACGGUGUUUACUUAAAACUUUUCAAAUCCACGACACGCACAAAAGUUUCUCUUUUUGCAUUCAACUCAACGUCAUAGUUUGGAACGUCAAUAAUAUUGUUUUGUUUAGGAAAUCCAUUAUUCUUCUGCAAAUUUAAUAUAAUUUUAAGAGAUAAUUGGAGCAAUGGUCUAUAUAUUUUAGUCUAAUUGGAGUUUGUAUCCCUAAACUAAAAUUCCGUGAAUAUUGGUUCAUAAACUUAUUACAAUGUGUAGUAGUGGUUCUUAGGUUACUCUUUAAGAAUUUUCAUCCAUGUUUUACCUUUUAAACUCUUAUUUAGGAUGAAUUUAUAAUUAUGCUACUCAAAUGAACUAUAACUCUUUUAGAAUUUUCAUGAAUUGUUUUGCCUUUUAAACUUUUUUAUUUUGGAAUCUUGGAUGAAAUUUAUAAUAGUAUUUUCAUUUUGUGAAUCCUAGAAAGCCACAUGAGCACCUGUCUCAUAUCGCAUUUUCUAACAAGAAGAUUUGAAUUUUUAGUUUAAUGAUCAAAGCUUCAAUUGCCAAAAUUCAAGAACCAAAUGCUCUAAUUCUUUUUAAUUCUAAAUGAUGAGCAAUUAAUUCUUUUUAAUUCUAAAAUUGAUGAGCAAUUAGUAUAUAUUGACAUGAAUUUUCAUUUGAACGAUGCCGUAUAAAUGGUGAUCUAAUUGGAGAAUCAUGCUAGUUGUAGAUGCUUUUGAGGAAACGAAUAUCCGACAUCAACUGCAUGCCAAGUGUGUCCUUAUCAUUUACUUGCAAUCCUUUAAUUUGCAAGAAGCUUCUCAACGAGGAGAAAAGGACCACCACCACAUCUCCAAUCCUUUGCUUAUGAGGUGAGAGUUAUGAGCCACCACGCAAUUAAAAUACCAUCUUUGUUCUUUAUUUUUUACGAGAAGCGAUAGUGAUUUUUCAUUGAGAAGUGAUACGAUUAAAAAGAUGUAAUUGUUUAAAAUUAGGUUGCUGCCUGCUUCAUCGAAAAGCAAAUUCUUGUUUAAAUUAAACAGUCAAAUUUGAAUGAUGCUGGAGGACUAAUAUUCGUCAACAGCUGAGGCAAGUGUGCUAUUAUCAUUACUUUGAGUCCUAUAAUUUACAAGAAGCUUUCUCAAGGAGAAAUGAAGGAUUGCACCACCACAUCUCAAACCUUACUAAUCAACUCCACACAUUAUUUGUGCGGUGGAAUCAUAAGAAGUUUUCAAUUUGAUCACCAUUAAUAAGAAGAUAAUGAUGCUCUCUUGUUAAUGAGGUGUUUCCAAGCUGCCAAUACCUCGGGUUUUUAAUUACUUGAGCUAAAGUUAAUUGAACUUUCGCAUUUAAAUACACCAUUUAAAUUAAUAGCUUUUUAUUUCUAUAGAAAUACAAAUUAAAUCUUAAUAAUAUAACAUGUUUGAGUGCAUGAAGAUUAAAAUGAUAAAAGAAACCUCAAGGGGUUGGUCUAAUGGAACGCAAGCAAGGGUUUGGAACCCCCAACCCAAAUCCAAACUCCCACGAGAUGCAUUCCUUAGGUCACAAACUCUACGUCAAUGUACUGUUUGCCUUCAGGGUCACAAGUACGCUACCAUUUCAUGUGGUACUGAGACUGUAUAAGAAAUAAAAUUAGUCUAUCAUCAAUGUGUGGUGAGAUACAUUCUAUAUAUGUAUUAAAAAAAAUAAAAAGGACAUCAUGAGAUUAAUAUUUGAGUUGUUUAUAUUGGGGAGGGUGACAUUUUAAGUCCAAAAGAACAUUAUUUGUGACAAAUUCAUUCACAACAAGGAGGUUGAGGAGUUGAUAACCCCACGCUACCCUAUGCCUACCACAACAUCUCUCCUCAGCUGCUCACCACCACAAGAACCACCUACUUGUUCCCAACCACUCCUCCAAACUUGACAAAUAUACAUAUAUUGCCUCCAGUUAGCCCCUUAUACCGUUUCUCAUUAGCACCCUCCAAUGGCUAUCUUAACCCAAACCAAGUUCUUCCCAAGUUCCAUAAACCAACUCCACACAUCCCACUCUCUAAUCCGCCGCACUAGAGUGCAUUGCUCCGCCGCCACCACCAAGGCAAACCCCGCCGCUGAAAAGCUAGUCCUCAAACCACCACUGCAACUGCUAGAGCCCUCACACUCGCCCUCACCCGCCCUACUCACAGACACCACCAUCCGUCCUCCUCAACCCAAUGACCCAAGUUUGCUAUCGACAUGGUCUCACCGUGCAUGGGUGGCUAGUGGGUGCACAACAGUCCUAGUUUCUCUAGCCAAGUCCGUAACUUGUGCAGCUGAUUCACACAUAUGGCUCGAGCCCAUUUUGGCAGGCUUGGUUGGGUAUGUGCUGGCAGACCUCGGAUCCGGAGUGUACCAUUGGGGCAUUGACAAUUAUGGUGGGGCCUCGACUCCAAUUUUUGGUCCCCAGAUCGAAGCGUUCCAAGGCCAUCACAAGUGGCCUUGGACGAUCACUAGGCGCCAAUUUUCCAACAACUUACAUGCCCUAGCUCGUGUGGUGACUUUCUUUGUGCUUCCUAUAGACCUUGUGUGUGAUGAUCCAGUAGUUAAUGGAUUUGUUGCAGUGUGCUCUGGCUCCAUUAUGUUUAGCCAACAGUUUCAUGCUUGGGCACACGGCACCAAGAGCCGCCUGCCGCCAGUUGUGGUGGCCUUGCAAGAUUUAGGCGUCUUGGUUUCGCGGCCGCAACACGCGGCACACCACCGGCAGCCUUACAACAACAAUUACUGCAUUGUGAGUGGGGUUUGGAAUGAGCUUUUGGACCAGCAGAAGGUUUUCGAGGCAUUGGAGAUGGUCUUAUUUUUUAAGUUAGGGUUAAGACCCAGGUCUUGGAGUGAACCUAGCUCUGAAUGGAUUGAAGAAACUGAGACUGCUUCACAACUUCAAGGCCAAUGAACCUUUCCUUUACAUUCUUUUGGGGAUUUUAAUUAAAUGGGUGAUUUCCGCACUCACAUUUUUACGUCCAACUCGCCUCUGUUUUCUCUAGCCAUUGCAUUGAAUAAAUCAAGGAAGAAACAACGGACAGAACUAAACAAAGGUGUGUUGGAGGUGAAUAGGGAAGUGCGGAAAUCCUUCCCUUAAUCGAUUACCCACCAUUCAUCGGUUCGCAGUAUUAUUUACUCACUGCAGUAUUUCUUUCAAAAGAUUACGUGAUGUCUGUGUAUAUGAUCACCAGCUAUUGUAUCGGCUUCAUCUAGUUCAAUAGUCAUGUACCAAGAAAACACUUUCAAACGCAAACGUCUUCUUUAUACGAUGAAAUACAUUGUCCAGCAGCACUGUUGAAACAACUAGUUUACAAACGGAAAAAUAAAGAAAUAAGCAAUCUUUGGGUAUGCACAUUUAACCCUUCGAACUUCCGUAACCGUCGGCUCCUACUGGAGUGGAGAUGGAGGAUACACAGGGAAACCAGUAUCGGCGGACACCAUCUUUGUGACCAUCAUCAAUCAUUGCAAGACCCUCCUGAGAAAAUCAAUGGUUUUAUUAAGCCAAGGGAAUCCUACCAUACAUUUAAAAUAGACUAAGGGGAAAGAGAGGAUCCUAAAUGAGUCGAUUAGUAAAUGUCAUCAACUUACAUCUAAUAAAGUGUCAAAGGCAUCGAUUGCACGGCCAGUGGUCCAAGAUAGCCGUCUCUCCACCUCAACAACAGUCACAAAGCCUUUAGCCUAAGAGAACAGAAGCAGAACAUAACCGCAAAUAUCAAUCUAGACGAUAAAAAGAAAAUUAAGAUUAUUGAAACUGUUAUUCCAGGUGUAGUUCGGAGGACGAUAAAACAAAAAUUGGAACCUGGGCUAGCUCUAGAAUUUCAUUAUGAUCUUUGUUCAACUCAGUUGGAACGGAACGAACGAGCUUUCUCUUUCCAAUAGAAAUGACCUCAUAACCAUUACCCAAUACCUGGAAUCAAGUAACAGAUGUGAGUGCAAUGCAAUGCAUCACUAAGCUAUAAUCAUGCUAGUAAGGUGCUGCCUACUGCAGGGAUAUGAUACGAUGAACUGCUUAAGAGAAAGUACAUGAAGUUCUUAAGAGUUGAUAGCGUGAUAACAGAUCAUGAAAUACAGAGUUUGAAUAUCUCAAGGUCAAAAAUACUAUUUCCUAUUAGAAAGAAGGAAUUGUAAACUUUGACAUGUACUGAAUGAAUUGUGAUACAGAGGAAAGGGUAUCACAUAGCUAUCAGUAACGUACUGCUAAAUGUACCUAAUCUCACAACAAACCAAUUCUGACUAAACAACACCACCGAUUACUUACAGCUGCAGUAACAAACUUAAAGCUAACUCUUCCUUAAAAUGAGAUUAUACUCGAACAAUUGCUACUGUGAACAACCCUGGCAACAAAACUUAAUCCCCUACGUUAUGCAAGGACAAGCUAAGCCACAUUACCUUGAGCUUGCUUAUAGCACGGAGGCAAUCAUCCUCGGAAACAGCUUCGCGAUCACUCUUCCGCCUCUGACGAAGCAGACCGCAAAGUUCUUGCAGGUUGAUCAAACCACCAUUGUGGGGUCUUGUUGCCAAGCAAAUGUCAACAAUUUGCACCCCUGUCUAACCAAAUCCGCUCCCGUUUAGAACACACAUAUAUAUCCGAAACAACCAUAACAAUUCACACCCAAUCAAAGAUAUACAAAGAGAUUAAGAAGAUGGGUACCAACCAAGUUCAUAGUAGAAAUCACCAAUCCCCAAAAGCUCGGCCCAGAAACCCUUAUUGGAUGCCAAUGGAUCUACUCCUACCUUGGUGCACAUGUUAUGAAAUUGUGAUCUGAAAGCUGGGUUCUUUCGAAUGUCAUUCUGCACCAUCCAUAUCAAACAGUCAAUAUAAAUUAUUUAUCAUGAAGCGAUAUUACUACUCUAAGCUACACUAAGGAGAGGGGAGAGGGUUUGAACCCGAGACGCAAUGGAUCAAAAAAUAGGCCUAUCUGCCAGGGCAAUCCAGCACUUGCCAAACAGCCAAUGUAAAUCGAAUACAACAUAAAAAUUUUGACAUAAUUUGGUAAUGAAAGUGAUUGAUUGAGGAGAAAAAUGGGACCUUGUGCUUUCGAGCGAAAUCUUCCAAUUGGGUUCGGAAAGUGGUGAGCUGCUCCUUCAUGAGAUCGGUUCUGAUCUUGGCAACAUUCUCGCCCAGCUGACGAUAUUGGUCCUGCAAGAAAAGCAAGGAUUGGAUAAUUGAACUCGGUAACAAGUGGCGGCAAUCAAAGGCGAAGAAGAAGAAAAAUCACAAACCCUAGCGGCGGCGGCGGUCUGCAAGCCGCCGAUUCCAGGUCUCCUCCUCAUGGUUCUUCUUCUUCCGCGACCCGCUUCGGUGGAGUUGAGAAGAGGAAAGUAGUACGGAAAGCCAACUGUAGACUAAUAACUUAGUAAAAUUAAAUUUGUUUAAAUAUAUGUUUGGGAGUAAAAUUCUCACUGAUCAGAGUGGCGCAGCGGAAGCGUGGUGGGCCCAUAACCCACAGGUCCCAGGAUCGAAACCUGGCUCUGAUAUAUUCCAUUCUAUUUUUUAUGAUUUUUUUCCAUCGAUUGAGCAUAAUUAACGGGAGGUGCCCUCCCAUUUCCAUACUCUUCCCAUCCCCUCAUGUUUUGUGUAGUCAUGGUUAAACCACGUCAACAUUUUAUAUUUCUAUUAUUUUUUGUUUUAUUAUUUUUAUAAAAAAAUCAAUAUAAAAUGUUAACAUGACUUAACCGUGACCACACAAACAGGAAAUAAUGUGAAGAGUAUGGAAAUUGGAGGGCAAACAAUCCACCUUCUAAUUAAUGGGCUAUUGCGGAUUUGCAGAAACUCUAAAAUCUAGAGAGUAAGAAAGAAGUUGUUAAGAGCCUUUUAUAUGACAGUUUAGAAAUGGUUUGGCCUUUAUUUAAAAAAAACUAACAAUUUCAACUUAAGUUACAAAUGUCGAUACACUUGAAGAAAGGAAAGUGAUUUACACAAAUUUUUUACCCGACACGUACACUCUAGUACAUGAAAUGAGAGUUAAAAAGCCAUAGAUAAACAGUUUAAAGAGUAAAUAGGUGUACAAAAAUUAGUUCGCAAACUAAAUCAUCUGUAUGAGUAAAAUUAUGUAUUAUUCUUAUUGUGAAAUAUAGUGUGAAUGCCACAUAUGAAUGCGUGAAGCAAACUAACAUAUGAAUGCGUAAAGAAGCAAACCAACAUGUCAUAGUAGACUUUGGUGACACCAAUUAAAAGCGUAAGUCCAUGAAAACGGGGAAUUCAAUCCACGACUGAAAACUAAAUAAAUUUCAGCACUGCAUGUUGUAAAUAUACAUUUGAAGGCACAUUGCUAUAAGCUUACUUCUUGCUUGAUCCUCGGUAAGAAAUUGCAUUCGGUUGGUCAAGUAUGACGAGACUCUAUAUAAGAAUCAUGAAAUAGUACUCACAUCCAUCCUUUCUAAAAUCUUUAGCUUCCUCGAUCUGAGGGUCGACCAGUAUUACCCGGCCGUCGACCAUCUUGAGCACUAGUUCACCACACUUUCUAGAAAUAAAUGGCUUCUGUAUCAUGUUCUGCAGGCAAACAGUGAACGAUUUUGUCCACGAUUCCACCACGCCAUGCUCUGUCAUCACCCACAUGUGAUAAUCAUAUCCAUUUUGCCUUACAGAUUCGACUACAAAGAACGCAAGGUUCUCCCCAUAGCUCAAGAAAUGGUAGAGAACUUCUUUUGUCAAACAAACUUGGGGAAUCAUUAUUGUGGAGCCAAAAAUAAUCAAGAGGUGACACGUGAAUUUUGGGCAAAAAUGACAAAAUUACUUUUGAGGAGCACCAAAAUUCCUACGCGCGAGCAGUGGACAAACAUCAUACAAUCAAGUCAAAAGUGCCCAAAUAGGUAUUUAUUUUUAAACCUAUUUCAUCCAUCCUCAUCAAAUCCUCUCCACAAGGUAACCCCCAAAACAUUUCUUUUAAAUUAUGUUAAUAGGCUAAUUAAUGAAUUUAUUACCUAAUUAAUCUAUUAAUGGUCAAUUAAACCACCAAUUACACCCCAAAAAUACACAAAAGGUCGGUCACCUUCUCUCCCAAAGGGACCAGCCAUGCACUAUAUAUUCAACCUCAUUUUCUCUAAAACCCUAGGUCUUGACUCUUGCUAAACACUCAAAAAUUCCCCAAACACUUUUAUCUCAAAAUUCUAACUUUAGCAUCGGAGGUUCUUCGGCCAAAAUCCCCCAUUCAUCUUGGGCUCGUGAGACUCUUGGCCUUGACCAAAGGUGUUAUUUGUUUUGUAGGUGCAAUUUUGUCCCAGAUCAAGGAGGAAGAAAUUUGCAUCCACAAAUUGGUGCUUUCAUUGAGAGUUGAGUCCCACAUUUGUAGAAGACUUUCGCAUCCAAGGUUUUUCUAUUUUCUUGUCUAUUUGUAGAUUUUUCGUACGUUUUUAUUAUUAGAAUUUUUUAUUUGCAAAAAUUCUUGGAUAAAAGGUAAAAGAGAAGUACAAUGGCUAGAAAUUUAGAAGAUUAAACAAGUGAAAAUUCCAAUAUUCAAGAGAUGGGACCGUGGCGAUCCAUGAGGCUAAAUGUGACAAUAAGCGGAGUGGCACCACCACUACAAAGCUCCACCAUGGCAACCACCGCGGUGGCCACCACGGCAACCACCCGCGGCGAGGUCCAUGGCACCAUUACCACGGCCCAAGUCGUGCCAUCAAAACUUGCACGGGCCCAAGCCCAAGCCGUGCCAUCCAAGUUCCACGGCACCAAAGCCACAGCCCAAGCCAUGUCACUCUAAGCCCACCGCGAACCCAACGCGUUGUCAAGCCGAGCCCUAGCCUUGCACCCACGUGCGUCACACACUGAGCAGCCCACUCCCGCGGCCCAGCCUGCUCCAGUGGCCCAAUCUGCUCUCGUGGCCUUCCAAGUAGCUCGAAUUGAUCCAAGAUUAGUUCAACCGUCCCGGUUCUAAAUUUCUGGACCAACGAUCGAACUGGGAGCAUUUUCACCAUUUUUCUACAGAUUUGACAUUUCCUAACUUAAAUUUUGCGCCUGGAGUCUACCACACUUCCAUUACUCAAAGGGACACAUUUCUUCCAAGCUAUUCCAACCCAAAUGGAGAACAACACUUGUCUCGACAAGUCAUAGAGUUGACGAGCGCCCUCGCACAGCAGAUGACCUUGGUGAACCAGCUCUUGCAGCGCACCGAGGUGCAAUAUGCCCCAGACGAGGUGUCCCGAAGUAGGAUAAAGGCAGACAAAGAAACUUUCUAACAGCGUCCCGAUAAACAGCCAUUCGACCAGCCACGAACAGAGCGUUUGGGCAGUGUACACUCUCGAUUAAGCCCCCGAGAUAACAUAUACUCUCAUCUUAACGCGCGGAGGAACGUGCACUCUCGACUAAGCCCAUAGACGAGCAUACAUUUACAGUUGGGGUCACACUCCGAUAGUCAACAUGAGCAACCUUCCAGGUGAAGUGUUCAUUCGUGGCUAAGCCCGCAAGGAGCAUAUUUCACCUCACAUCGGAGUAGGCAGCACGACGGACGGAGAGAAAUAGUCACUCAAUCCGGCUCAAGUUCAAUCGACAGUUUGCGAAGAACUUGCUCGCUUGCUAGGAACACAUCACACUCAUCGCAUCCGCGGCAUAGACGAGCCAAACACAUGGAAGAGCAACCUAAACCAGCAAGUCGAGGCUGGGGGGCAAUCGAGAGCUUCGCUACCCCAACAAAGACAAAUUUAGGAAGAAGUAGAGAGAUUCUUGACCAAGCGAUUGCGUAAUUUCCAACACAACAAAGUCACCAACGAGGCACUACGAUGGAACAUGACCAACAUAAGCAGGCCACCCUUAACAGAUGAGAUCGAGCAGGCAGAGCCUUCACACGAAUUCAACAUGCCAUAUUUCACAUUUUUCAAAGGGGAUGAAGACUAGGAGAGACACUUAAAGCAUUACCGAAGCAUAAUGAUCUUUUAUCGAAACAACGACGAUCUCAUGUGUAAGAUAUUCACCACCAUUCUACAAGGUAAGGCACAAGAUUGGUUCUACACCCUGCCGCUAUAAUCUAUCUAAAGUUUUGACAAACUUUCUUUGGUUUUCACCAAAGAAUAUUCAUCCUAUCGCUCAAUAAAAAAGAAGUUCGACCAUUUGUUCAACGUCAAGAAGAACUCAAAAGAGUCACUUUGUGACUAUGUGAAGAGGUUCAAAGCAGAGAAGGCAAGUAUAGUCAAAUGCAACGACUCGAUAGCUAGAGCAGCCUUUCAAAAAGGACUUCUAGCAGACCACCUGCUAUUCAGAAAAUUGAUCAUGAAAAAAGAUCUAACUCUAGCAGACUCUUUCGCUCUAGCAGAGCAGCAUGCACUUUGAGAUGAGGCUCGCCGAUGCACAUUCAAGGACUUGAAGAAGUGCCUGACAUCACAUCCCUACUAUCCAAACCAGAAGCAACGGAUGACUUAUUCGCAUGUUUGACAAUAUCUAAAGCAGUAAUAAGCUCUACCAUCAUACGAGAAGAGCUGGGAGCCCGACUACCUGUAUUCCACAGUUCAAAAGCUCUCAUCAAUGUUAUCAGAAAUUUAAAAGCUAACUUUGGGGAUAGUUGUUACAACCCGGAAGCUCAAGUUUACCUUUAAACACAGGCAGUCAUCCUCAUGAUGUACUAUUCUGCCCAAUCCAGACCCGCGACGAUAAAGGCGUAGACCCUGGUGGAUGCAAAGUUUUCUAACGAAUGUAAUAACUCAGCCCAAAAGACACGCCAAAGGCAGACGAACAUUGGUAAGACACACUUAGAAGCAAGUUUUGUCCUCGUCGCCCCAAAAGAUUCUACAUAGGAGCAACAUGUACCGGUAAUUGAGCACCACCUCAUGUUGCGUGUCACACGACCCUAGCUGACCCUUGCUCUAUAAUUUAGUUCUAAAGUGGUCAAAUACUAGCAGUUGAGCAUCUCUUGCUAUGUGUAACAUGGCCCCAGCUCCACGACUCCCUACCACACAUUCACUACGUAACAAAGCGGCCCAACGACGCCUCAGAGGUAGCCGACCAUGCCUUAGCCGCGCCUGCUCCACCCGAUGGAGACUUUUGGCAUUUGCAUGUCGACGAUGCAUCCAACUACAAAGGUUCGAAAGCAAGUGUAGUCCUUGUCACCCCAAACGAUUUGAUACCUGAACAGGCAAUCACUCUAGGCUUCAAAGCAUGUAACAACGAAGCAGAGUACGAGACCCUACUAGCAGGCCUCCGAGUGGCAAAAGACUUGACGGUGAAAAAGCACACAAUUCAUUCUGAUUCCUAGCUAAUCACUAGCCAGCCUAAGCUCCGCCCUCAACCACCAACUUAAACGCUCUAUUCCGGUGGAGUAUCUAGACGAGCCAAGCAUAGAGGCGAAACCAACAGUAGAAGUGUCAUAGGUUAGUACAACUCCAAACUGGCAAGAUUUCAUUGUAGACUACCUGGUCAAUGACACAUUCCCCACGGAAAGAUUGGAGUCUAGGAAGCUCCAAAUCAAGGCAGCACGCUACUACAUAUGGAACGGUAUUCUCAUCCGAAGAUCCUACACUGGACCACAUCUCCGCUGCCUAACGGCUCCUGAUGACUUGAAGGUUCUAAACUCAAUCCAUAAAGGCAUUUGAGGAAAUCACUCCGGAGGUCGAUCCUUAGCACAGAAGGCUUUUAACGCAGGCUAUUAUUGGCCUACCAUGCACCGAGAUGCUAAUGAGUUAGUACAAAAGUACAUUAAUUACCCACGCUACAAGCCAGUACCAACACUGCCUACCAACGAGCUAUACCUGCAGACGAAUCCUUGGCCGCUCAUGCAGUGGGCAUUCGACCUGGUAGGACCUAUGCUGCCUGCUACUAGGGGUAGAGGCAUGAUGAUUGUGGCAAUCGACUACUUCACCAAAUGGGUAGAAGCAGAGCCCAAGACGACCACGACUCAGAUGGACAUAGAACACUUCAUAUGGAGGAACAUCAUUCGCCUAUUUGGCAUCCCUCAGUCUAUCACCGACAAUGGCCAACAAUUCGUGGGUAAAGAUGUGGCGAAGUUCUUCCAAAAGUAUGGCAUCAAACAGUACAUGUCCACACCGAGAUAUCCUCAAGGCAAUAUGCGAGGCGAAGUAUCCAACAAGAUGAUCUUUGACUGCCUCAAGAAAUCCCUCACUAAUAAAAAAGGAAAAUGGCCAGACGAACUCCUCAGAUGUCUAUGGGCAUAUUGCACCACCAAAAGACGAGCAACCAGUGAGACUCGUUUCUCUUUGGCAUUUGGCUUAUAAGCAAUCAUUAAUCCCAAUGUCAUCAAGCUAAGUAUCAUCGUUCUACUACCAAGCAUUGAUCAGAACAGUAAGGAGAUGGCCACAAGUUUAGAUCUAGUAGAGGAGAAGUGUGAGUAGAUUAUUACCCGCAUCGCAGCCUACAAGCAGCAGUUCCUUUCCAGUUACAACAAAAGGGCCAAGAUCUAGCAAUUUUAGCCCGAAAAUUUAGUCCUAAGAAAAGCCUUCAUCACUGCCUGCAGAGAAGGCUCCAAAAAGAUGGAUCUCAUCUGGGAAGGUCCGUACAAGAUCAGUAGAGUAGGCGGCAAAAGUAAUUACACCCUCGCCAUCAUGAAACGAUAAAAAGAUUGAAAAUCAGUGGAGCUCCUACAAUCUGAGGAAGUACCAUGUGUGACCUCCCACUACAUCAAAGCCUCAAGACUCAAGCAGCUCGAUGGGCAUCACCUUACAAGCCGAUGACUAUCUAGUUGUUAUGCAGUUCCUACCUUACAGCUAAUUUCUAGUUUGUUUCACUUGUUUUUCAAUGAGGAAUUCAGAAGUAAUCACAACUUAGCUCGGCUGCAUGCUUACAACAAUUGAUCACUCAUGCACUUCAAAAGAAUACCGCACCCUUUUUAGGGACUUAUUGCAAGAAUUGCGCCCCCUGAUGGACCAACCAUGCUCUCUAGUACGAGAUGGUAAACUAAUUGCUCCCCAGUGCGAGAGGGUAAACCAAUUCCCCGACACCCAUAUGGGUCAGCUCUCUAAGAUGGGAAGAUAAACUUUACACUCCGAAUAUCUAGACGUGGAUGAGCCUAGCUGCCAUAGUAUAAGUAGAUGCACGAUGGCUUGCGCCGGGAUUCCUAGAAGUAGCUACAAUAGUUUUUUUAAAGGCUUAGCUAACUAAAGGAUUUUUGGGUCUCUUGGCCUAAUCCGCGGGGAAUCGGGCGCUAAAGAUGAAUGGGGCACAUUACGCAGUACGCCCUACAGACGGCUGCCCUGGAACCCUAAAGUUGCUAUCGAGUACACUAAGGUAGCUUAAGGUUUCCAGAAGAUUGCCUACGGCUGUUCGAGCAGUAAAACCACGCUAGACUUAUACAACCGCACAUUCUUGUGAAAGGUUAAAUAAGCUAGUGUGCAUAUACGAAGCUUUAUCCACUGCCAACAUGCUAUGUAUUCGAUAAGCUUCACCUCUGCCAAGCGCGGAACAACCUACACCAAGUCAUAAAGUGUUGUGAUACUUGUUACACAAUAUAUGUAAUUGGAGAAAAGCCAAAGUUAACAGCUUAGUGGUUACGCGAACUUGUCUGCUUCUAUAAGUAAGGCAUCUGGUUGCCAACCCUAUGGCUAACAACUUUACAAAGUUCUACACCAACACCUACGACUAUAUAGGCUACGCAGGCUUGUCUGCUUAUAGAAAAGUAGCACACCUGCCAUUGGUCUAUAAAGUCUAAAGGUUAAGGCAUGAACAAAAGAAGUGAAGAUGAAGAAAAGUGAAGGAAGCAUGUUUAUAAAUAACGAGCAAGCCAAAUGAGUUCAAGAAAAACAAGAGCUACAAGGAAAAACAAAGAAAAUCCGAAAGGCUACCUAGAAGACUACACUUCAGCAGCCAUGACGUUCUUAGCAGCGGCAUUAUCCAGCGCUUCAUCCCCGGCUGCCCUAGCCUGGGCACCAACUUCUUCAACUACUUCACUAAUGGAAGCCUCAAAAGUAAAAGCAAGCAAGUCUCCAGAGAAAUAGAGAAGGUCUCGAAACCUCGAGCCCAUCCUUUUCACCCUUCAGCUGCUCAUUCUCCUCGAGCAGACCAACAUGGACACGUUACAGCUCAUCCGCGUCUUCUUCAGACUUUCGUUAAUCUUUAGUACACUUUGAAGUUCCAACACUUGGGGUUCAAGUCUAUCGACGAUUCUGUUGAAGUGGAUCACUUAAUUAUAAGCAGCAAUCAACUUUUAAUCCUUUGCAUAAGUAGCGAAACGAAGCUCAGAAACUGCAAACUCAAGAUCUUGAAUCUGAGGUAUGUAACAUCCAAUCUCAUUCUCUGCACUUUCAUACUUAACUUGGAUCGUGUUAAGCUUAACCUUCAAGUUAACAAUAUCUUGAUGAGCAGUCUCAAGCAGCAGAGAAGUGGGGGCAGAAAUAUUAGACCCUUUCAAAGUAACGAGCUCAGAGAUAGUAAAGUUUUGCGUGAAUCUUCUAAUUCACAAAGCCCCCAUGGAGCGAAUGGGAAUAGUAGUUUUCUCGACAAUGAUAGUUUCUCAGAGUAAAAAUCCUAUACCAGGAUGUCAAGGAGAAAGAAGAGCAACAAGGGAAAGCAAAAGAAACUAGUUAUUGGUAAAGCAUCUCUCUCGAUUGUGAUGUUUUAUUAUCAGACAGAGUACUUGAGCUUGGAAGAGCUUUUUACGCACUGCAAGUGUUCUGGGAUGAUUAGGCCUCAUGCUUGGAACCUUUGUCUGUAAUCGUUACUUAAAGAUGAUGAAACUUGUUGAGGAAAAAUUAGAGUACACAACACUAACACAAGGGUUAGAGAGACAAAAAAAGUAAACAAAUUACUUGUAUUACACUCACGAAAUAUUACAAAACACUUUCAAGGACGCACAUUAGAAGCUAUGACACUCUCACUUUCUAGGGACACAUUCUAGACCACUCACACUCCUACAAGACUACUCUUACUCCUCACUUUCACUUGGUUGCCUACUUUCUUGAUUUGCUCUCAUACUUCGUUACAUUUUUAGUAUGGCACUUCACCUAUUUAUAGGCGAGCUUAACCAACCUUUCUAAGUGCCCAACCGACUUGGGCUUUCAUAAUAAUUAUCCUUCUAGUUGUUUCUACAAACAGCCCACUGACAUGGGCUUUUGGUUCACACAUUUGUUACAAGCUUCUAGAACUUUUUAGCUUACUAUGCGUGCAUCACCGACUAAACAACUUGCUAGAAUUAUCUAGCAUUUUCUCAAUAUGCAUGCACUGCUAUUACUAGAGUUCUCUAGAAUCCAGAUAGCAAUUGGGCUGGUGUUGAUCUUUAACACUCCCUCUCAACAUCAGCUUAUUAUUUCCUCUAUGCUGAGUUGAUGAUAGAGUUUUUUGAACUUGCCGGUACUCAAACCUUUUGUGAACAAAUCUGCAAUUUGAUCAUCUGUAUUGAUAUGUCUCAUCUCAAUCUUUUCUUGCAAGACUUUAUCUCUAAUAGUGUACCUUCACAUGCUUAGUUCUUGCAUAAAAGACUGGAUUUUUCGCCAAGCGAAUUGCCGAUUGGUUAUCAUAGUACAAUGGUACUACAUAAUCUACUAGUUGAUGUUAAUCACUCAUCAACUGUACCAGCCAUGUAUUCUCUUGAGCUACAAUUGCUGCUGCUCUAUACUCUGCCUCCGUGAUUGACAAAGACAUUGUUGGUGUCUUUUGCUGCACCACGAAACUACUAUAGAACCAAUUCUAAAGACAUACCUAGGGGUCGAUCUCCUGCAAAAUCUGUGUCGCAAUAGUCGACCAACUUACCAUCUUCACCUUCCUUAUACAAGAGACCAUAGUCAAUUGUACUCUUUACAUACCUCAAUAUUUGUCGAACCACUUCUAGAUAAGGCUUCAUUGGAUUUUGCAUGUACCAACUCAUCACACCAACUGCAUAAGAAAUGUUAGGUCAAGUUAGAGUCAAGUAGAUCAGACUACCUACCAAUUGUCGAUACAUUAUUGCAUCUUCCAAGUCUCUGCCUUCAUGUGCACACAUCUUGGCAUUAGGUUCCAUCGGUGUUGAGAUUGGCUUGCAUUCAAGCAUCCCAAACUUUUGCAACAAGUCUUUUGCAUACUUUUAUUGAACAGAAAUAUCCCUUCUUGUGUGCGAUCAACCUCCAAAUCAAGAAAGUGCUUGAGUUGUCCAAGUUCUUUCAUCUUGAACCAAAUCAACAAAUUUUCCUUUGUUUGAUGAAUUUCUGCCUCAUCGUCAUCAGUGAUGAUUAAGUCAUCCAAGUACACAAGCAUGAUAGCUAACUUUCCUCCAUUAGCUUUAACGAAUAAGCUGGAAUCUGCAUGCACCGCUGAGUAACCACUUUGUGUUAGAAAUUUUGCAAUCUUACUGUACCACGCCCUUGGUGCUUGUUUAAGAUUGUAAAGUGCUUUCCUCAACUUGCACACAUACUCGGGAUGUGCUUUGCUUUCAAAGCCCAUUUGCUGCAUCAUUUAGAUUUCCUGAUCUAGCUCUCCCUGCGAGAAAGCAUUUUUCACAUCCAUAUGGUACAUGUUCCAAUCUUGGUUAGUUGCAAGUGCAAGUAAGACUCGUACGGUCAUAAGCUUUACCAUUGGACUAAAUGUUUCAUCAUAGUCUAGUCCAUACUGCUGAGAGAAGCCUCGAGCCACCAACCGAGCCUUGUACCUUUCAACUGAACCAUUAGGACAACAUUUUAUCUUGUACACCAAUUGCAGAAUAUAGGUUUCACAUUCCUUGGAUAUGGCACCAAAUCCCAAGUUUGAUUCUGCUUAAGCGCAGUGAUUUCUUUUUCCAUAACUCUUACUUAUUAAGCACAGUGAUUUCUUUUUCCAUAACUUUUACUUAUUAAGCACAGUGAUUUCUUCUUUCAUAACUCUUACUUAUUAAGUGCAGUGAUUUCUUCUUCCAUAACUCUUACUUAUUCAAAACUCUGUGAUGCUUCUUUAAACGUGUCAGGUUCUUUUGCUGCUCCAUCAACUACGGCAACAUUGGCACAUUUAGGAUUUGGCUUUCGUAUUCUUGUUGACUUCCUUAGUUGUGAUCGUGGAGUUGAUACUUCCACUUCACUAGGUCUAACUUCUUCUGGUUAUUGAUACACAUUAGUUUGCCAAAGACUCUUGGGUACUUCUUGCUUGACAUUGUCUUCAGCAAGCAAAUCUUCAGGCUCAUUUGGACUCGUUUGGAUUUGAGCAGUUUGCUCCCCCAUCUUCUGUUGCAGCUUAUCUUUAAACUCUCUUAAGUCAAGCAAUGCCUUAUUUUUUUAGCACCACCAAGAAGAUGCUUCAACGUCCCAUUCUUCCUCCAAGGCUAAAGACGUUAUGGCGUCCUAGUCAUCUUCAUUUUUCUUCUCUGAGUUGGCGAUGUUACUUUAUGCAGGCUUUUUGAACCAGCAAUUCUUCGCCAUGUGGCCCUUUUUUCCACAAUUGUAACAUUUUCCCUCAAACUUUUUAUUAUUCUAAGACUGACCACAGUUACCGUGAUACGUUGAAGCUCCCCCUCAAUGAGAACUCCCUUAUUUCCGAUGACCUUUCUCCUUGUCACCAUUUCUUUUAGAUCCACCACUAGCACGCUACUUAAAGCUUCCUUUACUUUUGGUGUAGAGCACUUCCUCUUCACCUUUUAACGAGACCCUUUCCAUUUGCUUUGCCAAAGCUUCUUGAUCGGCAAGAAAAUUCUCAAAUUCAACAAGUCAUGGUCAAGUAGGCCAUCCUUGUACAUCGGCAAUGAAGCCUCGAUAUUCAGGUCUCAAUUCAUGGAUAAUUAUUCUUUUUAUCCUGGAUUCUACAAUUGGAGCACUAGGAUCUAAUUUAGAAAUUUCACGGCAAAUAGACUUUACCUUGUGGAAAUACUAGGCAAUCGUCAUGUCCAUUUGGGCCACUGAUAAUAGCUCGUUCUUGAGAAGCUAUAGUCUUAUAUCGUUCAUCUUUGAAAAGAGUGUAGCAAAGGUGUCCCACACUUCUUUUGGUGUUUUGGCUUUCCUUAUGUGCUCUAACAUGUCAUCUUCAACUGUAGUUUUAAGGCAAACAUGGCCUUACCUGUCUUGAUCUUACCGAUCAAUUCGACUACCAUCUAAUCAUUUUUACCAACCUUUUUGAGUUAGGAAACCAAAAAUGGUUUUGAUUCCUUGAUAGUACCCGUUAGCAUACAAUCCAUUUGAAUCCUUACGAAGUUUACUUUGUCGAGAUUCUAGAAAUGUCAUUAAGUGAUGACCUAGUGCUAAAAUGGUAGCAUUUGACGGAAGAAAAUGUUAGGGAAAUCCAUUUUUGGUCCCUGAUAGCACUAAUUUUCUCAAACGCACUAGUUAAAAUUCUGGAUCUUCAAGAGGAAGAUCGAAUCUCUUUAGAUAUGUUCCGAAGUAAGUUAUUAGAAAUUCCUUUUCCGGCCUUAGGACAUUCUAACCGAUACUAGCUUCCAAAAUUUCUUGUGGUGCUGUACUAGUCGUUUCGAUGAGCAUAGGUGCAGGUGUAUAAGUUGUUAUGCUUACGAUUAGUAUAAAUCCCUGAAGCAGUAAGUAUUUUCCCUAAAAUCAAUGAAACCAUCUCCUAAGACUAGUUCCUUACCAAUCGUCCAAAACCAUACACCCAAGCGGGCUCUAACUUGUAAUCAGCAUAUAGUGGCGUUACUAAUUGACGAUAUUGUCCGAUAUCUAGAAGUUGUCAACUAAUAUUCAGCCAGUAUUAUUUAUGAUACUGAACACAUGCUAGUAUCUGGGAGUAAUACCCUUAUGCCAAAACACUGGUUCACAGUUUCAGGGUAGCAAACAAUAUCAAAAUAUUGUAUAUGCAUUCAUUAGUUGCGCGAUUGAUAAACUGAUUAACGGUGACUACCUGAGUUGAGGAAACUAAAUCAUGGAAACUGAGGAGAAAGUUUUGUAUUAGGAUAGUAAACCCAUAGUUGUUUUUACCUGAUCACCUAUCUAGGUAAACAGAACCUCUUUGACCAGUCACAUUUUCGAUCACUUUCACAAGUAAACAGUAGAAUCGAAGUAUGGGUGAAUUUUUCACUGUUAGAGUGAAUUAAGUAUCGAGAAAGCUAGACCUAUUAACACAUGGCAUAGUAAAAGGAAGUAGUAUGGUACGUUUCAAUGAUGAAUACCUUUGGCAUCAUUUCCCAAAAUUUUACCUGGGAUACCACCAAAUGGUGAAGUGAAGUACAUCAUUGACCCACUUCCUACUAUUACACCAAUUUUCCUUGCUUCAUAUUGAACGUUUCCGACGUCAUUGAGAAACUUAGUUACAAAGUUUACCAAUUAGGAAUUUACCCAACCAAGGACUAAACACCUUAUCUAGGGAACCUCAAAUCUAUCCGCGAAGGUGAAAGACCGAACCCUAGGAUUAUACCUAGAUUUUAGCAACUCAAUCAGGUGACGAUUAAAAAUUGUUUAAACCCUACUUCGAAUUGACGGUCUAGCCAACCAACCUUUGUAACUUGAGUUUCUUCCAUAGCUUGACGAAUUCAUAGUGGUCUUAUCGAUGACCUUCUCAUCUACCUCGACAGUGAAACCCAAUUCUCUAAACACCAAUAGUCAGCUUUAUAUCAAAUUCUUCAUACUUGUUUAGAGUGGAUAUGUUUCUUGGGAGACGUGCUCUCAGUGGACAAUAUUCUUUUCUUUUUCCUAAAAAGGUUGUAGUGGAAAGAAGUUGAAACUCUCACAAAGUGUUGUGAAAUUCGAGAUAUCUUUGGCCUUGUCGAUGUUAUCGACAAUUUGUUAGCAAUCUCUCAGAUGUGGUGUUUUUUUUCACAUAUCAACCGAUGAAAGUUAGUUUAGUUGAGAUGUUGAAUAUGAGUAAAGUUUUUGACAACCGAAGUGUUGUCUCACCCCAUCUCUGUUUUACACCUUUUGAUGACAUUGAUCAUUUUGGAAAUCCAUGAUGAUGUGUUCUUUGGAUGUUUCGACUGUACAGAGGCAGCAUGGCAGAGUAUCGUUUAUAUACUCUGUUGAUGCACAAAAUCGGAGAGGUCUUGGAACAACGUAAAUCCGACCGUGAAUCUACAAGAAAGUAAAUAACAUAAGAUGUAUCGUGGUUCACCCCAAGGUUUGGGCUACGUCCACACUGAUAUUGUAUUUCUGAGGGAGAGAGAGCUCUGAAUAUGAGAGUGAGAGCUUUGAGAGGAUGAGGGAGCUUAAGGCCUAAGAAUCGGCCUCUCCUAAUUGUGAGGGUGAGGAGUCAUUUUAUAGAAUAAGGAUUUCUCACUUAUUACAUAUUUGCCCCUUCCUUUAUUAUAUAAUUACAUUUAAGUUCCCCGAGUAUUUAUACGAGAUCUAAAUACGGAGGCCCUAAGUAUGGUACAAACAGUAGUUCCCUAAGUCUUCAGUCAAGAGAGUCUUUUGGCCGGAGACUUGAAAUUCAGUGCAUGUGUAGGCCGAAGUAACUAGAUGUCAUCUUGAACUGAUACCUGAUAUGAGGCAGUGCUCAAAAGUGAAAUGAUGCUCAAUUAAAAGUAGCACAUGUUGCGAGGUUGCUCUGUUUGUGACUUACGUUGCUUUGGUUGGCUCGGCUUGUGGCGUUGAAAGUGAAGGACUCCCUUUUAUAGAAUAAGGGCUCGCUCCUCAAUACAUAAAUGAUGGGCUAGAGUUGAUGCUCGCGGCGAGGCGAUUGCUCAAUGGCGGCGAUGCUCUCUAAUGAUGGUGAGGGAAUCCCUUUUAUAGAAUAAGGGUUCGCUCCUCACUACAUGAAUAAUAGGCUAGAGUUGAUGCUCUCUAAUGAUGGUGAGGGAGUCUCUUUUAUAGAAUAAGGGCUCACUCCUCAAUACAUGAAUAAUAGGCUAGAGUUGAUGCUUUCUAAUGAUGGUAAGGGAGUCCCUUUUAUAAAAUAAGGGCUCACUCCUCAAUACAUAAGUAAUGGGUUAGAGUACCCCAAGUAUUUUUCAUGAGGCCCAGUUAAGGCCCAACAUAUGGUAUAUAAUGUAGUCCCCCAAGUCUUCGGUCAAUAGAGUCUAUUGGCUGGAGACUUCAAAUUGAAUCCAUGUAUGGGCCGAAGUGGCGGUUGUUCGGAGGCAGUAUUUGUAUACCCUGCACUGAAGCUUUGUAGGUGAAGCUUUGCAAGUGAAGCUUUGUAGGUGAAGCUUUGCUAGUGAAGCUUUGAAGCUGGAGCUCUGUAAAUGAAGCUUUUGAAGCUAGAGCUUUUGUAAAUGAAGCUUUUGAAGCUAGAGCUUUGUAAAUGAAGCUUUUGAAGCUAGAGCUUUAGUAAAUGAAGCUUUUGAAGCUGAUUGACAUGAGUGAUGCUCAUGAAUGUUUAUGUUGAUUGAUAUGAGUAAUGCUCAUGGAUGUUGACAUAAGUGAUGCUCAUAAAUGUUGACAUGAGUGAUGCUCAUGAAUGUUUAUGUAUGAUUGAUAUGAGUAAUGCUCAUGAAUGUUUAUGUUGAUUGAUAUGAGUGAUGCUCAUGGAUGUUGACAUGAGUGAUGCUCAUGAAUGUUGACAUAAGUGAUGCUCAUGAAUGUUUAUGUAUGAUUGAUAUGAGUAAUGCUCAUGAAUGUUUAUGUAUGAUUGACAUGAGUAAUGCUCAUGUAUAAUUUGAAGUAGUGGGCAUACUUUUGAUCACCUGGUUGGUGAUAAUAAUAGCAGGCUGCCAAAUAAUUUGGAGUAUUGGGCGUACUUUUGAUCACCUGGUUGGCGAUAAUAGCGGCGGGGUGCCAAAUAAUUUUUUUUAGUACUGGGCGUACUUUUCAUCACUUGGUUGGUGAUAAUAGAGGGCCUGGCUCUUUUGGGCAUACGGGCCUUCACCCUCCAUAUAACGUUCCAGCCCAUUAUUUUGGGCUUGCCAUUUUUUUUUAUUACCCUCUGAUGAGGUUUAUACAGAUAUCUCCGAAAGAUAAGAAAAAUAAAUUACAUCAUUCAAAAAUAAAGGUUUUGACAGUUGCAGAUCGUUGGUGCGUACUGCACCUACUGCAUACUGGGUUGCUUCUGUUGGUAGCGUUCGUUGGCUUGGAUGGUAUUUUUGAGAGACUGGGAGUAACAACUGUUGUUAGAUCUGAAUUCGAAUGAGCUGGCUUGUUGGCCCAUCAUCAUCAUGGUUGUGGACUGCACCACCCCACCAUGCAUUCCAUUAAUAUUAUCUGCUGCAGCCAAGGAACAAAAUGCCGAUAAUAUCAGCGAUAUAUCGCCGAUAUUAUCGGUUUUUCCCCGGACUGAUAUUUUAAUAGGUAUCCAAAGGGUUUUCGUCAAAAUAUCGCGAUAUUAUCGCGAAAUUUCGAAACUAUGCAAGUCGGAGAUGAACGCUAGAGCUUCUACAGCUCCGGCCGACUGUAAAACAGCCCCUAGACUCCGAUCUAGGUAUGAAAAUGAAAUAGAAGACGAGAGGAACGUUUUUAUAACGUCCGUUUGCCGUGAAAUGGCCGGAGGUGUUCGGAAAGUUCGUCGACACCCACGGCCUCGCCGGAGAUGGGUGUGCCUAUUCCCGAGUCGAUUUCAUCCCAAAAACCUUGCAAAAACACGAGAUAGAACUUCAAUUUCACAUCUAAGCUUCGAUCUAGAACAGAAAAAGAAAAACCCGAAGCUUACCUAACCGGAGAAAUUGAAGGAACUCGCCGGAGCAGGUGCGAUGGUGUGCGUGUGGGUCUCGGUGCAUAGAGAAAUGAGAGGUGUAUGUGGGUCUCGAUGCAGAGAGAAAUGAGAGGGAGGAGCAGAAGGUCGUGGUGUGUGUGUGGGUCUCGGUGCAGAGAGAAAUGAGAGGUGUAUGUGGGUCUCGGUGCAUAGAGAAAUGAGAGGGAGGAGGAGAAGGCCGUGGUGUGUGUGUGGGAGAAGGGAGAAGAGAGAUCGAGAUAUCUGUGUGUGUGUGUAGGGGGGAGUGGAGAAUGGAGAGAAUAGAGAAGGAUCGAGAGAGAGAGACAGAGGUCGUGUCUGCGUGUGUGAUGUUUGUGUGCGUGCGUUGUGUGCGUGUGUGGUUGCGUGCGUUGUGUGUGUGUGUGGGGUUCCUCCUGUCAGGAGGACACAUGACUCACUCAGGAUUCCUGACAACUUUUACAAUUAUUUUGACAAUUUCAGACCACUUUUACAAUUAUAACUUGUACAAUUUCAGACCAUGGAUGGUGGUUUCAUUCAAAACCGUGUGUCGAUAUUCUUUCAAGAGGUGGAGUAUCAGAGCCAUUCAGAGCAUUUUCGUUUCUUCUUCUUCCCUUACCCCUUUCAAAGCCAUUCCAGAUCCAUUCCAGAGCUUAAACACAAAGGGUUCCAUAUUUAAAGUAAGUUUACAAACUUAUAUUUAUAUUAUUGUAAUUUAUACAACAACAAAAAAAAUUGUGUGGACUCGUAUGUUAAUUUUUUUUAAGUAAUUAAUACUUGCAUGUUAGUUUUUGUAAGUAAUUAAGUAAUGUUAACAAUUACAUGUUAAUUUUUUUAAGUAAUUAAGUAAUGUUGUAUAAUUAUUCCCUAGGAUAAUUUUAAUAUGUUUAAUGUUAUUUAUUAUUUUAUUAAUAUUAGGUUUUAUUAUCAAAUUGGAUUAUUAUUCAUUAAUAUUAGGUUUUUUUAUUAUCAAAUUGGAUUAUUAUUCAUUAAUAUUAGGUUUUUUUAUUAUCAAAUUGGAUUAUUAUUCAUUAAAUUGGAUUAUUAUCAAAUUGGAUUAUUCAUUUAAUUGGAUUAUUAUUAAAUUGGAUUAUUAUCAAAUUGGAUUAUUAUUCAUCACUAUGUUUUAUAUUAGGAUUAUUUUUUUAUCAAAUUGGAUUAUUAUUCAUUAAUAUUAGAUUUUAUUAUUCCAUAUUAUUUUUAUAAUUACUUAAAUUUUUACAAUCAUUUCUUUACUUCGUAUUUAAUUCUUCUGUAGAAUAACUUUAUUAUUUAGGUUCUCUUAUAUAACCGUCAUCACUACUAUAUUUUUUUGACCAAAAAAUAAUUGUCUAAUUUUCAUGAAAAAUAAAUAUAGGUACGUUUAAGAUGUCCAGUGGAGUUACUAAACGUGAUCCAGCUUGGGAACAUGGAGACCCAAUAGACGAAAACAAACAUGGCACAAUUUGCAAAUAUUGUGGUCGGGUAAUGAAGAGUGACGGAGUGACACGACUUAAGUACCAUCUUAGUGGAUUAGAUCCAGCAAAAAAUGUCCAACGAUGCGAUAAUGUCCCCCCAGAAGUGAAGGCAUUCAUCAACACAUUAUUAAAAAAAUAAAAAACAGCAAAAAGAAAAGAUAACACAUGGAAUGGAAAAUAUUCGAGCUGGGCUACGGGGAGAAGUUUAUGGCCAAGCGGUUGAUAAUGAUGAUGUUGACGAUGAGGACGAAUGUGAUGAUGACAUGGGACCUGAAGAACGACGCAGUUUGAAACAAGCAUUACGUGCCUCCAAACAGUCAGCAUGGGAAAGAGAACACCUUCAUAAAAUUCCUAAUAGAGCACAAGGUUCCGAGACAAGUGGUGGUGCACAAAUGAGACGGGGAGGCAGUCUUAGAGAAUCACAACCAACACCACCAAUAGCCCCAAGUUUAUAUAAGUCAUCCAAAGCACGUCAAAAGAGUGUUUGGAGUUAUUUCACUGGAGGUAAUGUGAAGGAGGGAAUGGGGCGUCUAAUUAGCAAAUUCUUUAUCUAUGAAAAUGUCCCUGCUGAGAAAGCAUCAUCACAUCAUUUCAAAAAUUUGGUAGUGGGAUGUCAACAGGCCGGUGUUGGAGUACAACAUCCCAUUCCCUAUGAGAUAAGAAACAAAUAUUUGGAUAUGGAGUAUAAAGACAUUGGCGAGUAUGUUAACAAGUUGAGGCCAAAGUGGGAAACUAAUGGUUGCACAAUCAUGUGUGACGGAUGGACCGGCCUGACCAGAUUGUCUAUCAUAAACUUCAUGGUAUACUCCAAAAGAAAGACAAUUUUUUUGGAGUCUGUUGAUGCUUCAGACCAUAUAAAGAACUACAAGUAUAUUUACAAAUUAUUGAGGGAUGUAAUCAUGGAGGUGGGAGAGCAUAAUGUUGUCCAAGUCGUGACCGACAACGGUUCUGCAUUUGUCAAAGCUGGAAAAAAAGUUAAUGAAGCAUCAUAAUGUGUUUUGGACAUCAUGUGCAGCACAUUAUAUUGAUCUCAUGUUUGAGGCAAUGGGGAAGAGAGAGAAUUUUGCUACUGUGGUAAAAAGAGCUAGAACGAUCACAAAUUAUAUUUACAAUCACGGUUGGUUGUUGGCAAAGAUGCGUGAAUUUUGCAAAGGAGAAAUUAUUCGUCCAGCUACCACUCGAUUCGCCACCGACUAUAUUGCAUUAGACAGCCUACUUAAGAAGAAAGCAGGGUUGAAGCAACUAUUCACUAGUGACGAUUGGGCCAACCACAAUUUCAGCCGCUCAAAUGCAGGUCGUAUGGUGGAAAGUAUAGUGCUUGAUCAUGCUUUUUGGACUCAAUCAGAACAUGUGUGCCAAAUGUUUGAACCUCUUUACAAAGUUUUACGGAUCGUUGACACAGAAAUGUAUCAUACUAUAGGGGCAAUAUAUGAGUUGAUGCGUGUAGUGAAGGAUGAAUUGGAAAGAAAACAUGGUGCAAGGUGGGUCAUAAAGAUAAUUGAAGACCGAUGGUAUAAAACAUUAUACCACGAUUUGCAUGCAGCAGGUAUAAAUUAUGUCAUAAUUUGCAAUUCAUUUCUUUAGUUGCAUAAGUAUUAAUUCUCUUAUUAGAGUAUGUGUUUCUUUGAACAGCAUAUUAUUUGAAUCUUCGAUACCAAUACAGACUCGGUGUUAGAGAUGAUGGUACCCUUAUACGUGCUGUACAUAAUGUAUACUCUAAAUUAGACCCUGCAUCACCAGCAGUUGGCCAAUUUGGAAAUGAGGUACACAAUUACUUAAAUUAUAAUAAUUACUUUGUGGAUUAAACUAACACGAUUUAUUGAAUUCAGCUAACAUGGUUUAAAGAUGCUAGAAGAACUUUUGGAGAACCAACAUCAGUUGCUGCUCAAACAAAAAUGUCUCCUAGUGAGUGUAAACAUAUUUCACGAUAAGUUUAUAAUAGAAUUUGUUGGAGUUAUUAGGCUUAUCAACAUUGUUUUUCAUUGUAUCUGAAUGGUGGAUCAUGUAUGGGACCGAUGCACCAACUGUGAGAAAGUUAGCAAUCAAAGUAUUAUCACAAAUAGCUUCCUCAUCUGCUUGUGAAAGAAAUUGGAGCACAUUUGCACUCAUACACACAAAGCAAAGAAAUAGGUUGGCUCAUAGUAGGUUGGAAAAAUUAUUUUAUUGCUACACAACAUGAAGCUUCAAAUUCGAGAUAAGGAAGCAGAAAUAGAUCAUGUCGACCGUGGUGACCCACUAGAUGUGUUUGAUAUUGUUGCUGAAGAUGAUGAUACAGAGGGUAACCAACUUUAUCAAUGGAUUAGACCUCUUCAUUUAGAUGAUGAUGAAGGCAACCCAGCUCCCAGAGUUGCUGAAGAAGCACGUAAUGAAGGGAUAAAUGUAGAAAGAGUAUUAGCGGAUGAGGUGGGAUCUAGCAGCGCUGACUCUUUGGAAGAACUUUUGCACCCAAGACCAAGAAACACUGGAAUUCCACCUUCUUCCAAUCCUACACAACCACAACAUCGUGCUAAUACUAAUGAUAGCUCUAGUACAAGAUCAAGAGGAGACUCACCUACCACUGGAGGUGGGAAUGAUGAAGGAUAUAGUGGAGCUGGAGGUAGUGGUGGUGGAUAUGGAAACUAUGUUGAACCACCUCCCGGAUAUAUGAGCCCCUUCACUGGUGAGGCAAACUUCACGCAUGCAACACAGGAUGAGGACCAUGGCAGUAGGCGGGCAGGACCAGGAAUUGGUGUCAUAGGGAAGGACUAUACUCGUAGAGAAAGAGGCAAGGGGAUUUUGUCAAGUCAAGAAGAUGACUCGUUAUCUAUAACUUCGGACUCUGUUGGAUUGGGAAGUAGUAACUAUGGUUAUACUCAUAACCAACCAUUUCCCUACCCUUCAUAUCCGAUUCCUGUUGGGAUGGAAUCGAGUGACUCAUGGAAACAAUUCGAGACUCAAUCUUCAAAUGAUUUUGCUUAUGGACAAGGUCAACCAAUCUCGGAUCCAUAUGGGUGGCAUGUUAACAAUUACAUGCAAAACUAUUUUGGGGAUUUAUCAUUUGAUAACUACUCUUCACAAUACACUCACUCUACACAUAGAGAUGAUGAAGAUAGUGAAAAAUUUGAACCUCAUAGGAACUCUAUGUGGUACUAAGUCACUCAUGUAUCUUACCAUGCAAUGUAUAAAGUGUAAAAUAUUGUACUAAUUCAUUAUAUAUAAAUUAUUAUGGUGUGUUUAAACUUCUUUCAUUAAUUACUACAUAUUUUCUACACUCACAAUGUUUGCCUGCUCGCUAUAUAAUCAAUUUGAUAAUGUUAAAUCCAUCAUGCAAUGCAUUUCCUUCCAUUUUUUUGUGAUAAACUAAUAGAUAAUUGACUAAAUAAACAUCCUGCAAAGUUUCAAUAAAAAUUUCCAAGUUUUUCUUAUAAUUUCCAUGGUUUCCAUAUUAUUUUUAUCGAUAUCCAUAUUAUCCCGAUAUUUUCAUCGAUAUUUCCAUGUUUUCGGACUACCGAUAUUUCCGAUAUUAUCGAUAUUUAAUACCUUGGUUGCAGCACCAUGACCAUGCACAUGCAACUGCUGUCAGAUUUGAAUUCGAAUGAGUUGGCUUGUUGGCCCAUCAUCAUCAUGGUUGUGGAUUGCACCACCUCACUAUGCAUCCCAUUAAUAUUAUCUUCUUUUGCUUUUGUUUCCUUUUUUCUUUUUUGCUUUUGUUUCUCACGUGCUCCCGAGGAGAGCCUCUUUUUUUUUUUUUUUUUUUUUAUGUUGUCUCUAUUCACUGCGUCUUUCUUUUUGUCUCUCCACCUCUUAUACUUUGUUGUAUGAUGAUGUGUACUGAUCAGGAGCCGGUGCCUCAUGAUGAUCGGACCCCGUUGGUGGGUUUUCCAGCUGCCAUCUUCUUCCCCGAACCACCGCUCCCACUUUCCUUCAAUUUUUGCCCUUCUGAGCCCAAGUUCAAAGGGUUGCUGCAUUUGGGGUCUUUUGAAACAGAGCCCUGAGCAUUCUGACCACCCUGUUUUAUGGGUUUCUUCUCUUUCAUGGCGGAGAACGAAAUCGACGACCAGAACUUGUGGUUGCUGCUACCCCCUUCACUCUUACUCCGGUGAAGAAACUCCUUCAGAAAAACCCACCUUUUCGAGUUCCUCCCCACCGACGACGACCGUGACGACGAAGCUGAAACCAAAGGAGUAGUGGUGGUGCUGCUGCUCUCCUCCACUCCCUCUUCGUCUUCUUUCCUGUUUUUCGCAACCCCUUUCGGAUCUUCAACAAAGUUGCAGUCUUUCUCAUCAACUUCAAUAAUCACGUCGUUCUGUCCCCACUUGAAUGGCUCAUUUCUCAGAGGGGACAAAGAUCUCUGCCUCUCACGGGUUUGAACCUCACCCGAUCCAUUUCGUCUUCCCUAAUUUUCGGUUCGAGAUCCAGCACGGAGCCAAAGUCUGGGGCUUUUCUAGGUGGGUCGAGAGUUUCAUGGGUCGGAUCUUCCCGUUCAAGAACAACUCAUCGGCCGAGCUCAUCGGACCGGUCAGGUCGGACCCGCUCAACCCGAACAGUGCAAAGAACUCAAAAUCAAAACCCAUAGAAACAGAGCCGUUGCCGUUCCCACCAUUCUUCUCAAACAAAUAAGAGUUCAACUUUGUGGUCAACGCGAAGUGCAUUGGGCUCGCCGGAGCACUAUAGAAAAACCCAUUGAUCGGCCCACUCCGUCCGGGGCUCGACGGCGCGCUGACAUAUGGUGUGGUGCAGGUGCUGUCGUAAUCUUCAAAGAAGAGCUGGUUUUCGAGCUGGGUUUGGCAUUACCAGGGUUUGACGGGUCGGGUUUCGGUUCAGGGUUUGGGGGUUGGGUGCCAUUGGUGAGGGAGAUAAGAUCGAGGACAAGGGACCGAAGCUUGGUGUCCAUGAGUUUGGUGCAAGUCUCACAUGUAACCUUGCUGUCAGGGUCCUGGGUAAGGCAGACAUCUAGCACUGCAUCAGAGAUCUGAUCGCACAGCUUGCCGAGGUGACCCUCGUUCACGGAUUCAGAUGUGAAUAGGAAAGUCUCUAUUCUCUCUAAAGCACGGAUCUGGAAGUGGAGGAAGUUGAAGGGAAGAAGAAGGGGGCUGUGAUAUUUGGACCACACAUUUUACGUAGAGAGCGGAAGAAAAGUGGUGGGCCUGAACUUGAGGAUGGAUCUGCAGCUUUCCUUCAUUUUUUGCUGUUUCUAAUUUCAGAAGCCUAGAAAUUGAAUCAGUUAGGUUCUGUUUCGUUUUGUCCUUUGACUUGGAAAUGAUAAGUACUGACUACGACUAAGGGAAGAGAGAGAGAAAGGUUACUGGGUUUCUGAGUUUUUGUGAUUUUGCAUAUUCACAGCAGAGGUGAAAAUAUAAAAGAGAACCGACACAACUUUUCGUAUCGAUUCCCACAGACGGCGCCAAAUGUUGAUGCACAAAACCGAAGGGGUCUCGGAACAACAUAAAUUCGACCGUGAAUCUGCAAGAAAGUAAAUAAUAAAAAAUGUAUCGUGGUUUACCCCAAGGUUUGGGCUACGUCCACAUUGAUAUUGUAUUUCUGAGGGAGAGAGAGCUCUGAAUAUGAGAGUGAGAGCUUUGAGAGGAUGAGGGAGCUUAAGGCCUAAGAAUUGGCCUCUCCUAAUUGUGAGGGUGAGGAGUCCUUUUAUAGAAGAAGAACUCCUCACUUAUUACAUAUUUGCCCUUUCCUUUAUUACAUAAUUACAUUUAAGUCUCCCGAGUAUUUAUACGAGAUCUAAAUAUGGAGGCCCUAAGUAUGGUACAAACAUACUCUAAUGGUUAGAACCGUUCUAAAUGAACCAUUUUACACAUGACCUAGAGCCAAUAAGUAUCCUCUUCAUUCAAGAACUGGAUAACCUCUUUGAGGAGAAAUGUGUCCAGGACCUAAAUUAACGUCUACGAUUGCACUAUCGUAUAUCAUCCCGGUUGUGCAAAAAAACAUUAAUUACCCUUAAAAUACUUUCAACCUGUCCUAUUCCAUUUUAUUUGGAAUUCACGAGCAUUGGUUUGAUGCUACUUACAAAUCAUCAAGAAAUCGUUCCAGUGGUUAUAACCCUUUUUGCAUUUGAAUGGAAAUGGGAAAUCUCACCAUAAGCUCAUGGUAUGAGGUAUCAUGUUCAUGUGGAUAUUAUGAUGAUGCUUCGGUAAUCAUCGACCGAUUUGACAAAUCAACUCACUUUCCAUUAGUCCAGAGUGACUACAUUUUACACCAUUUAGUAAAAUUACUCAUUCUUGAAUUUUUUUUUUUCAAAUUUUCUGGUGUUUCGAUCAACAUUUACUCUGUUUGUGAUUUCGUAUCUACCCUCUGUUUGUACCAGAAAGUACUUUCAGUUACCCUUGAAUACACAUCUACCCUACUGAACUUCGUAUUGUUCUGAAGCAGAUAAUCGUUAAGGAAAAUGCUUGGAUAUCUAAUUUUUAGUUUUGACCAUUAAUGCUUCAAUCACCCAAAAAAUAUUGUGAUGAACGAAUUUUACCAUUGGUGAUUAAAUCUUCUAGAAGCUACCGUUGUCGUUGGUGUCAUGCAUUCACUCACAGUUAUCUUGUAUCCUAGAUUUGAUAGACUUGUUUUGACCCUCAAAUUCUUAAGUGUUCUUUUAGCCUUUCUGACAUAUUUUUUCACUAAAUUCAAGAGAAAUUCAAUAUGAAUCUACUUGCUAAGGCAUUGUGGACUACAUGGUUCGGCUAUAUGGUGUACAGGUCGCUACUGUACCCCACAGUGAUACGUGUUUCACUUCCAAGUUUUGGGAAGUCUUCUCGAAGGCUAUGAGUACAAGUUGGUGUCCGAUACCACACUUCAUCCUCACACUAACGACCAGUCUGAAUGAAUUAUCCGGACUUUUGUGGACAUGUUGUAUUGAUCCGUUCUAUAGUUUAGCAUGAUUGUAGUAGAUACUUAUCUUUGUUAGAGUUACGUGUAACAGCAGUUACACUUUCGGUUUUAGGUAUGGCACCACUUGAGACGUAGUACAGAAAUUCUAUGCAUAUUACAUAAUUGACAGUUGAGUACUGCAAACAGGUAUCUAAAUGAUCGAGUGUGCGAUAUAGAAAAUUUCAUAAUUUUGACGGUGUUGGCCGAUAGGGUAGUGCGUGAGCACGAUUGAGGCUUUGUUCAGACGAUGUAUGUGUAUUUCCCAAUGGGGGGCAUGAUAGUAAUAUUUCACCCUCAAGAAUUGUUACUUUCUUAUUGAGACAAUAGUCUGUUGUCGGUAUUGCGGGCUGCAGACCAUAAUAUCAAUAACUUAUUCGUUGGGUUCGUUAAACAAGUAGUUCAUUCUAGGUUAGCAUUUGUAUUUACUUACUUAAUUAGUUAUUUAUUGUUUGGGCUUGACCCAAAGAUACUACAUACUUACCUUCGAAGUACGUGACGCUACGAGUGCAUAGGUAAAAAUUUUCUAUGCUCAGUUUUGAUUUCAGUACAACUAUUUCUACGUUAUUGCAUAUACGUAUUUGGAUGUUUUGCUUUUAUACAUCUAUUUUUUACCCAAUGUUUUUAUAAAAGUAUUAUAUUUUGGCAUUGUACAGAAAGAGAAGUAAAGUUUGAGCUUAGGGGUAUGAAAGAGGACUCACUGCACUCCAAUCACGACGGAAUGGCAUUCUUUUUUAUGCAACUGCUCUAGCUUGAUUUCUUCCUUAUAUAUACUUUCUUCCUACCUUUUAAGGUGGGUAAAUUGUGACAACAUGUCCCUAAUUUUACGAUUUUAUUUAUUUUAAAUGAGUGAAUUGAUGAAAAUACCCCUUGAGGCGAAUGUCUUGACUUUCGUUGACCUGCGUAUUGGGAAACAUGUCAAACAUUCUUUUAGCGUAUCCUCAUAGUGCUCAUCACUAUGAACGUGAAGGUUCAAGCGGAAUCAAAAUUGGAAUUGCGAUGAAGAUUUUACGGAACUACGAAUCCGAGAAAUACUUUUGUGAAAAAUUACUAAUGGAUAUUUUAUACAUUUGUUUUGAAAUCAUUAUAUUAUUAUUUUAUUAUUAGUUGAGAGAAGAGUGAGAGCAUUGACCAAUCUGAAAGAUAAGGAGAAGAGAAAGAUGGAGGAGAGUCCGACCUAUGAGAAGAGAAGAAAUAAGAAAGGAGGAAGUAGAGAAUGAGAGGAGCCGGCUGGGUUCCCCUUCAACCCGCAACCCAGUUUCGACCCGGAGGGUUUUCCGUGAUUGUCAUCCAUUUUUCCGACAAAUUCUACCCAACCCUUACCUGUAUACACAACCCUAACCUCCAUUCUCUCUUUCCACUAAAAAUCCAAGGGUUUUAGCCUCAAUUUCGCUAAGAACAAAGCCGACGGCUUUGAGGACACCCAGUGGCAAUCCACCUUUUUCUGCAACCUUUCCCGUCGAUCUCCACCAUCAAACAACUUCCCUUAAGCUUAGGAACAAUGCCAAAUCAAUGGUUAGAGGGUCGGAGUUGAUUUGAGGAUGAAUCAAGAACACCUAUAUUCUAGGGUUCCAUCGGGUUCGUGGUGAUUUGAAGCUUUUCCCGGCCAAAUUGGACUUGGCCACAGGUAUAAAACUUGCUCUACUCAUUAAGAUCUUUAUUCCUGUAAAAUUUGAGAAUUUUUAGAAAUAGUUAAAUUUUUCAAUGAGUCGAGGCGGCGUUGCGUGGGCCAAGACCCCACCUGACCUUCCUAGGCUAAUUUGGAUGCCCCAAUUCCAUUUUAGACAUUCGAUUAACGAAAUUCCAUUGUUUGGUUAUAUUUCCGUUAAGGGCCACCACUUGAAUAUUAUAGCAAUCGACGAUCCGACCGUUGGAUUAUCACUAAACUUUAAUACGUUAUUGUAUGUAAUAUUUCAGGACCAUAGAAACUUACGGAUUAAGAAAAAAAAGUACGGAUCCUCCCAAAUUGGAUUUGUAAGUUCAUAAAAUAAAACGUUUGCCACCACUAAAUUUUAGCGAUUGGCGAAGAUCCGACCGUUGGAUCGUUCCGAAACUUUAGGAUGUUGUUCUAGAAGCUUAAAUAAACUCUUGGGAAUUACAGAUCAGAAAUCUGAGGUGCAGAUCUUCUACAUUGAGUCACAUAAUGUUGUGGACCCUACUGUCGAUCUUCGACCGACAGUUGACUUUUGGUCAAUGGGUUUCAAAUAAUUCUAUAACGUUCUUGGAGAUGUGUUUUAUGUAAGUUACAUGUUCUAUCGAUAAGAAUUUUAAGACGUGAUUUGAUAUUAUUCUAGGCGACGAUCGUUCGUGACACCUCGAUAUUCGUUCUAGGAAGUUGUAAUGUGGACUUCAGGUGAUGGGUCCUUUCCUUUUUAUAGUGUAUAUAUAUAAGAUUGAUAGUUUCCAUUUAUGCAUUUGAAAAAGAAUUUCUUAGGUACGCUUGGAUUAGACUAAAGUUUAUAAGAAUUAGCCAAAUGACGAAAUUUAUGAAAUAUGCUACAUCCUACAGGAUGCACAGGUAUGCUUAUAAUCUUUGAUGCCAUAAUUAUAUCUACGACUAUGAAUGUUAGUAUGUUGAUUAGAACAAUCGAAUCAUUGUGGUAUGCUUAUAUUUAUGUAGUCUACUCGUCAUUACUGCACCCCGGUGUUAGAGCUUGCCCAAGGCUAGGGCCAAUCUUUCCCAUGUAGGUGCCAGUCCUAUUGUACAGGUUGCAUUAAGCAACUUCGACUUGUAAGUGACCGUGAAUAGCACCAGUCUUCACGUGAUUGUAGCACUAGAACGUAUACUAUGAUUACACCCAGUCCUGUCAUAUAGCUCGCAUUAGGCAACUCCAACUCGUGUGCUAGCAUAGAUUGAUGAGCAUCAGUUUAGUCGUACAGGUCCCAUUAGGCGACUCCGACCUGUGUGCUAGCAUAGAUUUUUAUAGCACCUGAUUUUAAUUAUAUUACUGUUGAGAUUUUGUGAUUUUGGAUAUCUUGCCCUUAGUUACGAGAUAUUGUGCCGUAAUGAAUUGUUGAGAUUUUGCAGGCUACGGUAAGUAUUUGUAUACCAUACAUAGUAAGUAUAUUUUGGAAACAAUACUUGUUUUACGACGAAGGGUUACAAUAUUUUCAUAAAGGUUUUUAUAAAACUUUAUUUUCGAGCCCACUCACCCUUGUUUUUGUUCGCCCCUCCAGGUUUUAGAAGCUGAGCUUUCAUAUCGGCGAGGAUUCUUGGCAAAUCUUGGUGUAGAUGAGUAAUUGAAAAUAUUUAUUUUUAUGAACAUUUUAAUCUAAAAAUAUUUGAAUUCCAAUAAGUAAUUAAAAAUCAUACAAACAUAGGUAUUUAUAAAGUUUUAAGUUAAAUCUGAUUUAAAUAUUUAUUUCUUUAUUUAAUUAUUUUAGACGUUAGAUUUAAUUUUGGGCCGUCAAUUUUUUUUAUUUUUUUUUUACCCUUAGAUUUGAUCUCAUUUGAUCAUAGCCAUUAGAUUAUAAGUGAAAAACAAAAUAAGAUUUGAAAUAUGAUAGUUUGGUAGAUCCAGAAUAAUUUAAGACAUACUUAAAUCCUAAGGGGAAUUUAGCCCAGGGAUAUACUUUCUCCCCAAAGCUUAUUUUAGCCCAAUGAUUGGAGAUGGUUUGGGGGGUUUUAAAGCUUAUAUUUUAAGUUUUAUCCCAUGAGUUGGAGAUGGUCUUAGGGCUUCAAAAAAGACAUUGGCAAAAGAGAGAUGCAUCAAAGUGCUUUUGAGAUUAUGAAUCCCCCGUCAGCAAAAAAAAAAGGAUUUUAAAUAUGUGUUUUUAAGUAAUUGAACUACUCCCUAUAUUGUCAAUUGGUUUAAUAUUGGAAUCUCAAUUUUCUUUAUGAUAUUAGAGCAAGUUGUCAUAUGUGCAAAGCCCAACAGCCACACGUGCUCCAUUAGGUCUAUGGGCUCCAUAGUUUGAGACAUAGAGAGGAUCUCAAUUCGGUCGUAUUGAGAAUAUGAACUCCACAUCCAGGAAAGAAGAGACCUCCUUGCAUGUGAUUAUAAGUAGUUAGACUACUUUUCAUAUUGUCAAAUGGUGUGAAACCUCAACUUUCUUCAAGUGCUUUUACAACCUAAGAAACUUUGUUUUGAUUGAGUUUUCUAUUUACACACCACAAAACAUCUUAAGUUCACCCAUUAUUUUUUGUAUCGUUUGAAAUCCAAUUUUUACCCAUGUUAAAAAAGGGUGGUGAUAUUUGCACACUCCUUUUUACCUUCUGUUCAUCACUUUCCACUUUCGAUCGUCAAAUCCGUGACUUGAAGAUGAUCAAGUAACAAAAAUUAACAGGAUGUGUGGAAAAUAAAAAGGAAUGUAUGGAUAAUACUACCCUUAAAAAAUUAAGAACCAACACUAAAAAGUUAAGAAACCCACAAUCAUGUCAUCAUUUCCAACCAUCCCCCUUUCAUUUCCUUCCCUCCACUCACACUUUCCUUUUGUCUUUACCUCUCUAUAAAAAAAAAAUCAAUACAAAAUGUUGACGUAGCUAAAUCGUAACAGUUUAAAUAGGAGGGGAGGGAAUGAGAGAAAGAUUACGAGGGAAGAGAAUCAAACUCCCGCUACAAGCAGUGUUGGCUUGAGGGAGGGGGGGUGAGCAACUUGUGAAAUUGCACAAUGACCCCAACUUUUGGCUGAUAUAUAAGUUUGCGAGUUGAUACUUUGUUUCUUGUUUGGACUGAGAGAAUGGAGUGAGAGAUAAAGAGAAUAAGGAAAGAAUAUGUUGAUUUUUUAUUUCACAUUUUUAAUAUCAUUUGUUGCUGAAGAUUUGUCUUUGGAUAGUGAAUAAUUAUGAUAUUAAUACAUGGUAAUUUUUUUUUAUUAUUUUAGUACAUUUAUUUAUGUAAUAAAAUACGAAACCAAAAGGGGCCGUUUAUAAUUUAUGCACAGAGCUCUCAAAAUUUCAGAAACAACCAUACCUACAAGUCUCGCUGCUUCUAGCUUUAUUCCCGUCUAUCUCUCCCUCCUUCCGUGAGCCUUAAUUGAAAUUAGAAUUGGGUGUUAUUCAAUUUUUUUCCUCUCUUACUACAUCCUUGAUUUGGUUUAUAGUUUUUUGUUGAUGCGGUGCGAUGGUUAAGAAUUUUGUCCAGCAUCAACUUUUAAAUAUUACGAAUUGAGUUAAAGUGAGAAAUCAAACAGCUCCUCAAUGGUAAUAAUGCCCUAUUUUUAAUGUUUUAGAGAAAGUGAAGAGGCCAGCAGUCGGAUUUGUAGGUUCAUAAAAUAAAACGUUGACCAUCACUAAAUUUUAGCGAUUGGCGAAGAUCCGACUGUUGGAUCGUUCCAAAACUUUAGGAUGUUGUUCUGGAAGCUUAAAUAAACUUUUGGGAAGUUACCGAUCAGAAAUCUGAGGUGCAGAUCUUCCGCAUUGACUUACAUAGGGUAUUGGACCCUACUGUCGAUCUUCGACCGACGGUUGACUUUUUGUCAAUGGGUUUCAAAUAAUUCUAUAACGUCCUUGGAGAUGUGUUUAAUGUAAGUUACAUGUUCUAUCGAUAAGAAUUUUGAGAUGUGAUUUGAUAUUGUUCUAGGCGACGAUCGUUCAUGACGUCUUAAUAUUCGUGCUAGGAAGUUGUAGUGUGGACUUCAGGUGAAUGAGUUCUUUCCUUUUUAUAGUGUAUAUAUAUAAGAUUGAUAGUUUCCAUUUAUGCAUUUGAAAAAGAAUUUCUUAGGUAUACCUGGAUUAGACUAAAGUUUAUAAGAAUUAGCGAAAUGGUGAAAUUUAUGAAAUAUGCUACAUCCUACGGAAUGCACAUGUAUGCUUAUAAUCUUUGAUGCCAUAAUUAUAUCUACGGCUAUGAAUGUUAGUAUGUUGAUUAGAACUAUCGAAUCAUUGUGGCAUGCUUAUAUUUUUGUAGUUUGCUCAUCAUUGCUGCACCCCGGUGUUAGUGCUAGCCCAAGGCUAGGGCCAAUCUUUCACGUGUAUGUUCACCUCCGCACCGCACGCUAGCCUUGGAUCCAAGUAGGUGUCAGUCCUAUUGUACAGGUUGCAUUAAGCAACUCCUACUCGUACGUGACCGUGAAUAGCACCAGUUUUCACGUGAUUGUAGCACUAGAGCGUAUAUUAUGAUUACACCCAGUCCUAUCGUAUAGGUCGCAUUAGGCAACUCCGACUCACGUGCUAGCAUAGAUUGAUGAGCAUCAGUUUAGUCGUACAGGUCCCAUUAGGUGACUCCGACUUGUGUGCUAGCAUAAAUUGUUUGAGCACCUGAUUUUAAUUAUAUUACUGUUGAGAUUUUGUGAUUUUGGAUAUCUUGCCCUUAGUUACGAGAUAUUGUGCCAUAAUGAAUUCUUGAGAUUUUGCAAGUUACGGUAACUAUUUGUAUACCAUACGUAGUAAGUAUAUUUUGGAAACAAUACUUGUUUUACGAUGAAGGGUUACAAUAUUUUCAUAAAGGUUUUUAUAAAACUUUAUUUUCAGGCCCACUCAUCUUUGUUUUUUUUCGCCCCUCCAGGUUUUAGUAGCUGAGCUUUCAUAUCGGCGAGGAUUCUUGGCAAAUCUUGGUGUAGAUGAUUAUUUUCGAUGGUAUAAUUCUCACCCUAUCUUAUUGUACUAGACUUAUGCUCUGACAUCACGUGUGAAAUGGGUUCAUUCCCGCUCACAGUGCGCUCUUAUACUUAGGCACUUUUAGGUUUAAAUUUAUUCACAUUUUUCCAUAUCACUACACUUUAUGGCUUCGUCACCUUCCAGGUGUCGGCCAACACAGCUUGAUUCAGAGUCCUAGUGGACAUUCCGGGUCGGGGUGUGUCCAAAAUUUUAACUCGAAAUUAGUGAAUAAUGAUUUUAGCCUAUUUUUUUGUUUUGGUAACUUUUUUAAAAAUAAAAUUUAUGUGGAUUAUUCUAAUGUUUUUUUAUGAACAUUUUAAUCUAUAUUUAAAUUCCGAUAAGUAAUUAAAAAUCAUACAGACAUAGGUAUUUAUAAAGUUUUAAGUUAAAUUUGAUUCAAAUAUUUAUUUCUUUAUUUAAUUAUUUUAGACGUUAGAUUUAAUUUUGGGUCGUCAAUUUCUUUUUUUCUUUUUUUACCCGUAGAUUUAAUCUCAUUUGAUCAUAGCCGUUAGAUUAUAAGUGAAAAACAAAAUAAGAUUUGAAAUAUGAUAGUUUGGUAGAUCCAGAAUAAUUUAAGAUAGACUUAAAUCCUAAGGGGAAUCUAGCCCAGAGAUAUAUUUUCUCCCUAGAGCUUAUUUUAGCCUAAUGAUUGGAGAUGGUUUGGGGGGUUUUAAAGCUUAUAUUUUAAGAUUUAUCCCAUGGGUUGGAGAUGGUCUUAGGGCUUCAAAAAGGACAUUGGCAAAAUAGAGAUGCAUGAAAGUGCUAUUGAGAUUAUGAAUCCCCCGUCAGCAAAAAAAAAAAAGGAUUUUAAAUAUGUGUUUUUAAGUAAUUGAGCUACUCCCUAUAUUGUCAAUUGGUUUAAUAUUGGAACCUCAAUUUUCUUUAUGAUAUUAGAGCAAGUUGUCCCAUGUGCAAAGCCCAACAGCCACACGUACUCCAUUAGGUCUGUGGGCUCCAUAGUUUGAGACAUAGAGAGGAUCUCAAUUCGGUCGUAUUGAGAUUAUGAACUCCACAUCCGGGAAAGAAGAGACCUCCUUGCAUGUGCUUAUAAGUAGUUAGACUACUCUUCAUAUUGUCAAAUGGUGUGAAACCUCAACUUUCUUCAAGUGCUUUUACAACCUAAGAAACUUUUGUUUUGAUUGAGUUUUCUAUUCACACCACAAAACAUCUUAAGUUCACCCAUUAUUUUUUGUAUCUUUUGAAAUCCAAUUUUUACCCAUGUUAAAAAAGGGUGGUGAUAUCUGCACACUCCUUUUUACCUUCCGCUCAUCACUUUCCACUUUCAAUCGUCAAAUCCGUGAUUUGAAGAUGAUCAAGUAACAAAAAUUAACAGGAUGUGUGGAAAAUAAAAAGGAAUGUAUGGAUAAUACUACCCCUAAAAAAUUAAGAACCAACACUAAAAAGUUAAGAAACCCACAAUCAUGUCAUCAUUUCCAACCAUCCCCCUUUCAUUUCCUCCCCUCCUCUCACACUUUCCUUUUGUCUUUACCUCUAUAAAAAAAAAUCAAUACAAGAUGUUGACGUAGCUAAAUCGUAACAGUUUAAAUAGGAGGGGAGGGAAUGAGAGAAAGAUUACAAGAGAAGAGAAUCAUACUCCCCCUACAAGUAGUGCCGGCUUGGGGGAGGGGGGGGUGAGCAACUUGUGAAAUUGCACAGUGACCCCAACUUUUGGCUGAUAUAUAAGUUUGCGAGUUGAUACUUUGUUUCUUGUUUGGACUGAGAAAAUGGAGUGAGAGAUAAAGAGAUUAAGGAAAGAAUAUGUGGGAUUUUUUAUUUCACAUUUUUAAUAUCAUUUGUUGCUGAAGAUUUGUCUUUGGAUAGUGAAUAAUUAUGAUAUUAAUACAUGGUAAUUUUUUUUAAUUAUUUUAGUACAUUUAGUUAUGUAAUAAAAUACGAAACCAAAAGGGGCUGUUUAUAAUUUAUGCACAGAGCUCUCAAAAUUUCAGAAACGACCAUGCCUACAAGUCUCGCUGCUUCUAGCUUUAUCCCCGUCUAUCUCUCCCUCCUUCCGUGAGCCUUAAUUGAAAUUAAAAUUGGGUGUUAUUCAAUUUUUUUCCCUCUCUUACUACAUCCUUGAUUUGGUUUAUAGUUUUUUGUUGAUGCGGUGCGAUGGUUAAGAAUUUUGUCCAGCAUCAACUUUUGUAUUACUAAUUGAGUUAAAGUGAGACAUCAAACAGCUCCUCAAUGGUAAUAAUGCCCUAUUUUUAAUGUUUUAGAGAAAGUGAAGAGGCCAGCAGUCGGACUGGUGGACGAAUCCGGCAUGGUGGCAAGCGAGGAGGAUUGCUAGGUGCUAGGGUUUUCAAUUUUUUGAGUAGGAGGUAAAAUUGGGUUUUGCACAUUUGUUGGAUGAACAUGUGUGAUGGGGUUGUGACUAUUGACCAGAAAAACUGCUUUUUAGCCACUCGCAUCAAGAUGAUUUGUUACCCACCAAUUGAAGAUGGUGUUUGUACUAUUAAUCCAAGAGUUUGAAACGUGCUUAAUUUGAUCUACACGUGAGGCGUCAAUAAAUCAGUUACACAUUCAACUCAUAUCACUGGCUUGGGACUUGCUUAAUUUGGACUCGACAUGAAGUGAUAAUAUAUCACUCAUUCGAUUCAUAUUAAUUUAAUGUCUUACUUAAUUACCAACUCACUUAAGCGAAUAAUACGUUUGUGUUUUUUGAAAAGCAGUAUGGAACAUGGACAAAAAAAAGGUAGUGAUAAAGAGACAAACUAUUUAGACUAAGUUUUGUAAAUCAUAUAUCAUGAUUGUUGAUGAUUAGAAAUGAUGUGAUUAUUUCAAAAUGAUUGCAAAUGUAGCUUUUAGGCAGUUAAAGGGCCACAAAAAUCAAAUUGCAAUUCUUCAAUAAUUCAGGACUAAUUAAUAAAACCAGAUAUACUGAAAUGAUAAUGGAUAGAAAAAUGUCCCCUUAUAUUUCAUAUGACAGUGCUACAUAUUUGAUACUAUGGAAAAUAAAUUAAUAAAUGAAUCCAUACACAAUAAUAAAUUGACAAAGUUAACCAAAACUCCAUAAACACCUCCACUCUGUAGUCCGAUUCUCUACAUAACCAAAACAGCAGCGAAAAUCCCAACGGCCACGGACCCGGCGGCGGAGAACCUAUUCAAAACGGCACCGUUCGCAGGAAGGGGAGCCUCGGUGGGAGAGUUGGCGACGGGAGAUGUCGAAGGAGAAGUAGUCGGAGACGACGAUGGGGGAGAAGGUGGAGAGUCGGCGACGGGAGAUGUCGAAGGAGAAGUCGAUGGUGAAGUGCUCGAUGGAGAAGGAGCGGCGGCCGUAGGUGGAGUGCUCAAAGGAGAAGGAGCGGCGGCAGUAGGUGGAGUGCUCGACGGAGAAGGGGCGGCAGGAGCUUGUUUGGGAGAAAGCGUAGGAGACUUGGCUGGCGACGAUGCAGGGGAUUGCGCCCCGGUCGAGGCCAGCAACAAAGCAGCCAUAAGCACGAAAACGACGCCGCUGAAUCGAGCCAUUUGUAGAGAGAAAAAGAGAGAAACUCAAACAGAGAUUGUGAGAGAGAGAGCGAGAGAGAGGAGUCUAGUGAGGGUUAGAGGCGAAUAGCAGAUGGGUUUUAGGAGAGCAGAUCGGGGUUUAUAUAGAGGGAGGGGGAGGAGACGCGUGGCGUGUAGCAAACCGUUGGACGGUGGCGAUUUUCUCGCUGUGAGCCUGUGAUGAUUCAAGGUCGGUUGGGGUAAAAAGAGAACGUGUUACCAACUCAGAGCCGAAACACGCUUUGUUUAUUGGACUGGGCUGGUUCUUUUAUGGCCGUUGGAUGUAUGCUUUACAGCCUAUAACGGUUAACUAUCCGACGGUGCAGAUGGUAGGUUAUCUGGCAGAUUCGCUUCUUUCUUUUGUUUUUAUUUUAGUUGGACUUUUCUUUUUCUUUUGGAAAUCUUUCUUUCUUUCUUUUAUUUUCUGGCUGUACAGAUUGUUAUCUUAAAGCAAACGGAUCCUUUCUUUCAAUCUUAGGUGCCAGAUUGGAAAAUUUGAAGCUAAGGUAGGGCAUGUCAGCUAGGUUUUUAUCGAGGUCCUUUCAUGCACCUUAUCUUUCACCUUUGUAAGUUUUAUUCUCAAUUAAUGAAUAUAAUACUUUUUUAUAUUUUUUAUAAAAAUAAAAAAUAAAUAAAUCGAACAGUUUAACCAUUUUUUUUAACUAACAAUAGCGUUAGCAGGUUAAAUUAUUCAUUUUUAGAAAGAAAGAGAAUUGGUGGGGGUCGAACUUGCACUAAAGUGAUAAACGUGAUUGUUUUUUGUCAUUGUGAUAAAAUGUCAUCAGCACGAUUAAACUAUUUGUUACUUGUUUGAUUUUUAUAAUAUUAAAAUAGACAGAUUUUGAUAAUUAAGUAGACAUAUCAUUUUUAGGGCAAGCAUGAAAUUUAGUCCAAGUGAGAUUUUGAAAAGAAGGAAAGAAAGUAGAAAGUGUCUUGUGGAAUUGACUGAUUCUCUUGUAAGACGGGGUAUGGAGUCCUUGAGUCAGUCCACUUUUAACCCUUCAAAGAGGGCAUAGAAGCCUAGAUAGGUUAUAAUAGCCCGUUCAACUUCCAUUCAAUUGUUAGGUUUUGACUCGAUGUAUUUGUCUUGCUAUGGAAAAUAAUGCCUUACAAGACACUACAUAUAUGAUCCAGCUUCCGGCAAUUGCAAUGGCUUCUUUAUUUUUUUUAUAUAUUAAAAAAAUGAGUUCUUAGAUACAACAAGAACAAAUCUUAUAUAUAUAUAUAUAUUCAAGACUUACUUGAUACAAUAAAAAUCUCUGUUUGGAAAAUUUGAAGCUAAAGUAGGGCAUGUUAGCUAGGAUUUAGAAUUAUUUUGUACAUGAAGAAAUAGACCGAAUGGUUAAAUCAUUGUUUUUAACGAACAAUAGCUUUAAAUUUAACUCGUUAAUUGUUAGGAGGGAGUAGGAUUGGUGGAAAUCGAACCUGCACUAAAGUGCACAAGCAUGAUUACUUUUCGUCACUACGAUAAAGUGUCAUCAGCACAAUGAAACCACUUUCUUCUUCAUUGAUUUUUAUAAUGUUAAAAUAGACGAUUUUGAUAAUUAAGUAGACAUAUCAUUUUUAGGGCAAGCAUGAAACUUUGUCCAAGUGAGAUUUUGUUAAGAAGGAAAGAAAGAAGAAAGUGUCAAGUGGAAUUGAAUGAUUCUGUAGUGAGAAAGGGAAUGGAGUGCUUGAGUCAAUCCACUUUUAACCCUUCAAAGAGGGCAUAGAACAAUAGAUAAGUUAUAGCCCGUUCAACUUCCAUUAGGUUCUGACUCAUAUAUUUGUCUUGCUGUGAUAAGAAUGCCUUACCGGACACUACACAUAUGAUCCAGCUCCCGGCCGAGGUAUCCGUUUUAUGAUAACUUUCAACAGUUUCUGCUCCAUUUUUGUACCUUUAGUUGGCCUUAAUAUUCUCGGCAAUUGCAAUGGCUUCUUUAUCUCCUUAUGUUUAAAAAAAAAAUUAAAAAAUCAAGAGGUUUCAUAUACAACAAGGACAAAUCAUAUAUAUAUUCAUGACUUGCUUGGAUCAUAACACAAAUAUCUAUUUGGUAUAAUAUCGCAUGGAAACAAACAAGGUUAAAUUGAUACUAUAGAAAUCUCUAGUAAAAUGUCUACCCGUAAUCUACAUAGUUCAUUUUAGGGAUUGGCCCCUGCGUUUGUGGUUUCACCCUUUUGGGUGUAAUAGCUUCAAAGUUUGAUAGUUUACGUUAAAGACAGAUCCGCUUCUUUUUUUGUGCAUGAAUUUGGUGUAUACAACAACACCCAUAUUUAUGUCACUUCUAACUAGGCUUAAAAAUGAAAUUUGUUCAUGUCUCCAACGAUUUCAUGUAUGCCGAUUUUAUUGUUGUAUGAAAAUUUUAGCUGAGGAGGUGGGAAACAAUAUUAGAAACAUCUUUCAAACUUUAAAAGACAAGACAAAAGACAAAAGUUGCUACGUCUCAUGUUGCUUUACUGACAAAUUUGAUUGGAUUCAGGAAUUGAUGCUGAUACUUUUGUUGUAAUGUCAAUUAUGUCGAAACAUAAGCUACUCUACUUUCGAGUUGGUUGUAUUCAAAAAUGCUUUUCAUCGUUUAAAAGCGUUUUCAGCUAUCUCAAAAGCAUAAUGGUGUCCAUAUUCUAAUAACAGAGGUUCUUGGAUAUGAAUGCAGGGCAAAUUUGGUGAUAACACAUAUUGAAAUAAUAAUCGAAAAAUAAUGUCUCUUUAUAUUCUCAUAUAACCGCGCUACAAAUUUAAAUUAAUAAAAGAAUUUAAUACAAUAAUAAGUGGAAAUUCAAAAGUCCAUAAACACCCCCACUCUACAUAACCAAUACAGCAGCGAAGAUCCCAGCGGCUACAGACGCGGAGGCUGAGAACCUGUUCAAAACAGCACCGUUAGCAGGAGCGGGAGCCUCGGAGGGAGGUCCAGAAACUGAAGAUGGAGAAGUAGUCGGAGACGACGAUAGGGGAGAAGGUGGAGUGUCAGCGACGGGAGAUGUCGAAGGAGAAGCGGAUGGUGAAGUGCUCGAUGGAGAAGGAGCGGCGGCAGUAGGUGGAGUGCUCGACGGAGAAGGGGCGGCGGGAGAUUUUUUGGGGGAAAGUGAGGGAGACUUGGCUGGUGACGAUGCAGGGGAUUGCGCCCAGGUCGAGGCCAGCAAGAGAGAAACCAUUAGCACCAAAACGACGCCGAAGAAUCGAGCCAUUUGUAGAGAGAGAAACAGAACUCAAACAAAGAUUUUUAGAGAGAGAGGAAGAGAGGAAUUAAGUGAUUGAGAGGCAACUGAAUGAAUGAUGGUUUAAGGAGAAGGGCGGGGGGUUUAUAUAGGGGGAGGCGGAGGACACGUGGCUUUAAAGUACCGUUGGACGGUGAGAUUUUCUGGCUGUGAAGGUUGGAUGGUGGGGUUGGGAAACGUGUUACCAAACUCAGAGAAGAUACGCGGUUUGUUUUAUCGGGCUGGAAUGUUGACCGUUGGAUGGGUACCUUAGGUUAUAACGGGUAGUUUUCCUACGGUGGAGAUUGUAGGUUAUCUGGCAGGUUCGCUUUGUUCUU
rnacentral:lncRNA from 1 species